CCUACGGGAGGCAGCAGUGGGGAAUAUUGCGCAAUGGGCGAAAGCCUGACGCAGCGACGCCGCGUGAGGGAUGAAGGUCUUCGGAUCGUAAACUUCUGUCAGCAGGGAAGAACGGUCACUGUGCUAAUCAGUAGUGAAUUGACGGUACCUGCUCAGGAAGCACUGGCUAACUCCGUGACAGCAGCCGCGGUGAUACAGAGGGUGCGAGCGUUAAUCGGAAUUACUGGGCGUAAAGCGCUCGUAGGCGGUAUGUCAAGUCAAGGGUGAAAUCCCCGCGCUCCACGUGGGAGCUGCCUUUGAAACUGGCAAACGAGAGUGUGUGUGAGGAUAGUGGAAUUCCAGGUGAAGGAGUGAAAUCCGUAGAUAUCUGGAGGAACAUCAGUGGCGAAGGCGACUAUCUGGCACAUAACUGACGCUGAGGAGCGAAAGCGUGGGUAGCAAACAGGAUUAGAUACCCCUGUAGUC
rnacentral:rRNA from 1 species